UUUCUGCAUUCUUUCUCAUAUGUUUUUCUUAAUUUUUGACUUGAGCAUCAGAGAGUUCCUGUCAGAGCCAACUCCAGUCAGGACUUACUUUACAAGUUUUUCUUUCAGGAGAAUGCGCCACUGCUCCAGCCUUUCUGAUCAAAUCUUAGAUUUUAGUGGCAACAAAUUGACACUAGAGGAAGGAUCUUGACUCGAUUGUGAGACAAAAUAAAUAAUCGAGACCAUGACCCUGCGUAGGA
rnacentral:lncRNA from 1 species